rnacentral:sRNA from 1 species
UCUGCUGCGGAACCCCGAAAGCUGAGGGACGGAGGUCAGUGACUCUGAGGUCUCGGGAACCCGGAGACGAGGGAAGACACCGUGUUCCUUAAGAGGGAGUAUACGUUUCCUCGCCAUUUAUCCAAUGGAGAUUCCUCUUACCUACUUAACAGGAACAGGGAAAGGGUGUCCCCCAACGAAAAGCACUUGGUUCUGCUUCGAGAUGGAAGGACACUUAUAGGCUUUUUAAGAAGCAUUGAUCAAUUUGCAAACUUAGUGCUACAUCAGACUGUGGAGCGUAUUCAUGUGGGCAAAAAAUACGGUGAUAUUCCUCGAGGGAUUUUUGUGGUCAGAGGAGAAAAUGUGGUCCUACUAGGAGAAAUAGACUUGGAAAAGGAGAGUGACACACCCCUCCAGCAAGUAUCCAUUGAAGAAAUUCUAGAAGAGCAAAGGGUGGAACAGCAGACCAAACUGGAAGCAGAGAAGUUGAAAGUGCAGGCCCUGAAGGACCGAGGUCUUUCCAUUCCUCGAGCAGAUACUCUUGAUGAGUACUAGUCUUUUGCCCAGAGGCUGUUGGCUCUUGAAGAGUAGGGGCUGUCACUGAGUGAAAGUGACAUCCUGGCCACCUCACGCAUUUGAUCACAGACUGUAGAGUUUUGAAAAGUCACUUUUAUUUUUAAUUAUUUUACAUAUGCAACAUGAAGAAAUCGUGUAGGUGGGUUUUUUUUUUUUAAUAACAAAAUCACUGUUUAAAGAAACAGUGGCAUAGACUCCUUCACACAUCACUGUGGCACCAGCA